GGAGGAAGACUCACCAGACCUCCAAGAACUACAGCAUUUUCUGGGACACCAAGCUGAUAGAAUCAAGGCUGGCAAAUGGAGUCAUUCCUUGGGCAAGAGCAAUGUCAGCUCCCGCAGAAGGGCUGGUGCUGUUAUACCCAUGGUGCCAUCAGCCAGCCAACUUUGUGGGAAAGAAAGGAAAUGGAAACUCCUCGGGAACAAGGUCACCCUCAAAGACCAAUGCCAGCAAGUGGAGAAAGAUGGAGAAGACACAGUCAGCAAACCAAGCUGUGGAAAUGCUUCACCUCAGACUCUAGUUUUUUCUGCUGGGGAAAGUUUCCUCAGAGCUGGAAUGCCUGCAGACAGGAGUUCAGGUCACCCUCCACAUCUGUCACCAUUUGCUACACUUCUAAAGAAGAUCUCUGUAGAUCAUGUGCCAAUUUGUUGGGGGCAGCUAUCCAUCAAGGCAGAACCCAGAGUAUUCAUCUCGACACCUGGCAGCUGCCACCUACACAGAACAGACGCUGCCCUGAAGGAAUAUCAGUGACAACUCCUCUGAGAGAGCCACAGCACCCUGUGACAUGUGUGCAGACCGGGAGGGACUCCAAAGAGAGAAGGCCUGUGUGGGAUUUCUGUAAAUCUCACACCCAG
rnacentral:lncRNA from 1 species